rnacentral:misc_RNA from 1 species
GAAAUGCGAUAAGUAAUGUGAAUUGCAGAAUUCCGUGAAUCAUCGAAUCUUUGAACGCACAUUGCGCCCCCUGGCAUUCCGGGGGGCAUGCCUGUCCGAGCGUCAUUUCUGCCCUCAAGCACGGCUUGUGUGUUGGGUGUGGUCCCCCCGGGGACCUGCCCGAAAGGCAGCGGCGACGUCCGUCUGGUCCUCGAGCGUAUGGGGCUCUGUCACUCGCUCGGGAAGGACCUGCGGGGGUUGGUCACCACCAUGUUUUACCACGGUUGACCUCGGAUCAGGUAGGAGUUACCCGCUGAACUUAA